rnacentral:rRNA from 1 species
GACGAACGCUGGCGGUGUGCUUAACACAUGCAAGUCGAACGGCAAGGCCCUGCUUUCGUGCGGUGCCCGGGUGGGGAACGGGUGCGUAACACGUGAGUAACCUGACCUAGUCUUUGGGAUAACUUCAGGAAAGUGGGGCUAAUCCAGUAUAGGAGACCCCGCUGCGUGGUGGGGGUGGGAACGUUUCGGCGGUAGGGGAUGGACGGGCGGCUUAUGAGCUAGUUGGUAGGGGAGUGGCUUACCAAGCAUUUGACGGGUAGGCCGCCUGAGAGGGGGAACGGCCACAAGAGGACUGAGAGAGGGCCCAGUCGCCAACGGGAGGCAGCAGGGGGGAACAUUGCACAAUGGUCGGGAGCCUGAUGCAACAACGUCGCGGUCGGGAUGACGGCCUUCGGGGUGAGAACCGCUGUCGGCUGUGACGAAGCGGUAGUGACGGUAACGAGUAAAGAAGCACCGGCUAACUACGUG